GCUAGUGUAGCUAAUAUAAAAGCAUAGCAUUGAAGAUGCUAAGAUGGGCCCUAGAAAGCCCCGCAUGCA
rnacentral:tRNA from 1 species